rnacentral:rRNA from 1 species
UACAGAGGCCCCAAGCGUUACUGAGAAUCACUGGGUUUAAAGGGUGCGUAGGUGGCGCGUUAAGUCCGUUGUGAAAUCCCUUGGCUCAACCAAGGAACUGCUUCGGAUACUGGCGUGCUUGAGGCUAGUAGAGGUCACUGGAACUGACGGUGGAGCGGUGAAAUGCGUAGAUAUCGUCAGGAACGCCAAUGGUGAAGACAGGUGACUGGGCUAGUUCUGACACUGAGGCACGAAAGCGUGGGGAGCGAACGGGA